CAAGCAAUCUAAGUGGAAUGAAGUUUUGAGCCUAUGUUUUAGCAGAAGUCUGAUGGAUGAUCUGUCCAAGUUUCCAUUCUGCAUUUGUCUUCUCCAGGGGCAGGAGGUGAAAAUACCAAAUUCCAAGCAGUUUUCCAAUCAGGAUCGGUACAUGCUUUCUGGAUGCUGAUGCUGCAAUGUACAGCAUUCCUUCAAGUUCCAGUUCCUUCCUUCCCCCAAAGCACACCUAAGCAAACAGCAUCCUCUCCUCUCAGCCAGACAGUCCUCAAUAGGGGGUACUAGGCACUGAGCAGCCUGCUAAGGAAAUCUGCCUGCCAUGAUAACAACUGCAAGAAAGGGAAGAUUUGCCUAAGAACCAAGUGACAGUUUGAAAUGCCGUUGUGCCUGUCAAACUGCAGUCAAGAAAAUGUUGCCUCACAGACAAAAGGGAAGAAAAAUGCCACGCAAGCAGUGACACUCCUGAUGAGGGCAACAUUGAACUUAACAGGAGGGAUGCUUCAGAUUCCUGGAAGAGGUUUCUGUUUCUGUGCCACUGUGAACUUUAUGGAUCAGGCUUUGCUAAACAAAGAAAAUGCCAAUGCACUUGAGAUCUGGAAACAUACUAUGC